GUCUUGGUGUGUGAGGGGACCCGUGGGGAGGUUCGCGCUACCCGUAAAGACGGGUCGGUGGGUCGAAACGCUUCGCAAAUGCGGACACGGUAGUCCUGGGUCAUGAUACGGCACAUCUCCGCGGCACCGUGGAUUCUCGCGCCGGCCUUCGGGAAAGCUGGCGCGCCUUCGGUGUUUUCCCGGAGAACAGACGGACCCUCACAGCCGAGAAAGGAAGCACGUGCCAUGACGCAGGUGAUGAAACCUCGAGAACGUGACCCGGAGUGGAAGAAGCCAGGCCCGCAAGGCAGGCUGCCUGCCGUAGGGUUCCAUUUAGGUGAAAUAUCCGGAGUCGGCACACCCUGUAGAGCUAGAGGGCUGAUGAAUGGCUGCCAGAGGUCGAGGAGGGGAAAUGGGGAGUGACUGUUUCGUGGGUGCAGGGUUUCCUUUUCGGGGUGAUGAAAAUGUUCCGGGACUAGAUAAACGUCAUGGUUGCA